GCGAAAUUCCUCUAAUUUUUCACUGUAUCGUGCAAACCCAGAAGCUCUUGUGCAAGCCCUGUGUUCUUCUCUUGCAAACCCUUUUCUCACCCUCGUCUUGUGCAAACCCACUCUAGAGCCUUCAAUCCCAGCGAAGAACCAGCCGCCUAUCCCCGCCGAAUCCAAAUUCAAAGCCUUCAAUCAUAGCGAAUAACCAACUCUUCAUCCCUGCCACAUCCAAAUCCAAAGCCUUCAAUCCCAUGUCCCAGCGAAUUCUAUUUUAUUCCCCAUCCGCGAUUCUUCCCCGGAAUCUGUUUCUUCCCCAUCCGCGAUUCUGUGGAAACCCUCUCCUUCUCUAUGACUCGCUUCAAGACUCCUCCGGAAGCAUCUCCAUAGUCUCCUGAUUCAACUCUAGCAACGUCCAUGAAUAUGAUAACACACUUAUACAAGAGCUUCAGCAAUCGCUCGAAAACCAACCUAAAAGCAACAAAAAGGUUAUCCAUAGGGACAAUAGAAGCAACAACAUUGGCAAAUGAUUUUGACGCUACUGAAUAAUUUCUCAUGGUAGUGGCAACGUGGGCUAUGGGCAAGGGAGUCAGCUUUAGCAGCAGAGUCGGUAUGGUGUACAGAUAGUUGGGAUAUCCAUGCGAGAGGGCUUACAAUGUGAGUGGAGUGGUGACGAGGGGGAUGAAUCGGAUUGAUCAGGAUGAGGCGGAAGAUGAAUCUUCCAGCCUCAACAACAAUGAGUCUUUACGCAACCGCGUUCUCCGCCUUCUUCGAGGGCCACGUUAUGGGCAUGUUAUGGCUCUUGUAGGGCAAAGGUACCUGAUGGCAAUUGGUGGAAAUGAUGGCAAGCGACCCUUGGCUGAUGUGUGGGUACUUGACACAGCUAAAAACAUGCACGAACAUGAAUUGGACGUGCCAUGGAUGUGAAGGUCCUUUCACUAUAGUUUUUAUUACUUUUUUUCCGGUAGGUAUUUUUUUUUUUACUUUGUUUUGGGGAUACAUUACAAAUAUAACACAUUUUGGGUAAGGUAUAAAAACACACUGAUCCUAGUUUGCCUAUAAUAUAAUUGUCCUUUUUAUGUUUACAGAUUUAGUGCUGCAUUUAUGUUGGACUAACAUUCUUUUUAGCAGUUUGUACAUUAUCAUUAUUAUAUAUAAAGUGCCAUGUUCAUAUUAGAUUGGUGGGGUUAUUUCAAUAUUUUCAUUACUUUUUGGUUAUUAUAUUUAUGAACACUAUAAAUAAAAUGAAUAGUAUUAUUUUUUUCAUUGUAUCCAUAUCUCUAUUUAUUGUUACUUUUUUUCAAAUAAUCAAAUUUCAUGUUCAUUGACGGAUUCCUUUAUGUACCUCUAUCAUAUUGCUG